GGGUUGUGAGGUUAAGCGACUAAGCGUACACGGUGGAUGCCCUGGCAGUCAGAGGCGAUGAAGGACGUGCUAAUCUGCGAUAAGCGUCGGUAAGGUGAUAUGAACCGUUAUAACCGGCGAUUUCCGAAUGGGGAAACCCAGUGUGAUUCGUCACACUAUCAUUAACUGAAUCCAUAGGUUAAUGAGGCGAACCGGGGGAACUGAAACAUCUAAGUACCCCGAGGAAAAGAAAUCAACCGAGAUUCCCCCAGUAGCGGCGAGCGAACGGGGAGGAGCCCAGAGCCUGAAUCAGUGUGUGUGUUAGUGGAAGCGUCUGGAAAGGCGCGCGAUACAGGGUGACAGCCCCGUACACAAAAAUGCACAUACUGUGAGCUCGAUGAGUAGGGCGGGACACGUGGUAUCCUGUCUGAAUAUGGGGGGACCAUCCUCCAAGGCUAAAUACUCCUGACUGACCGAUAGUGAACCAGUACCGUGAGGGAAAGGCGAAAAGAACCCCGGCGAGGGGAGUGAAAAAGAACCUGAAACCGUGUACGUACAAGCAGUGGGAGCCUCUU
rnacentral:rRNA from 1 species